rnacentral:misc_RNA from 1 species
UUUCCGUAGGAGAACCUGCGGAAGGAUCAUUAAUGAGUUGUCAUGGGGUUCGAUGCUGGCAGCCAAUUUUUGGAUGCAUGUGCUUGCCCUAACAAUCAUCUUCCAAACACCUGUGCACAUUUUUGAGGGAGUCUUGAGUUGGUUGCCGCUCUUGGGUGAUUUUCUCACAUUCCCUUAAAUCAUUAUACGCUAUUAACAAUGUUGAACGUGCUCUGUGCCGCAAGGCUAUUAAUAUAAUACAACUUUUAACAACGGAUCUCUUGGCUCUC